rnacentral:misc_RNA from 1 species
UUCAUAGAUGGCGCUAGAUACACAUUUAAAAUCUGUUUUGUUUUGAUCGCGGUGUUCCGAGCUUUUGCUCCCGUUGGACUGGAUUUACGAGAGUUCAGGAUGAAUGCGGACUCACUUUCACGUGAGGAGGCAUUGGAGCUAUUCUUCAGCCUGCCCGACGAAUCAGACACAAGUGAGGGUGAAGCUGAAAGCAGUGAUGAUGAGUUCGUGCCAGAGCUCGCGCCACGAGACUCGAGUGGCGACGAAGACGAACCUGGGCCAUCAACAGGCAAACGAAACACCUAAUUCAAAACUUGAAAUUAAAUUUGAUGAUAUUUUCCCCUCUAAUGC